AAAAGAAAAAAGGAAACUACUAGUAAUUACUAGUAUAAACUACACCUAAAAUUAUCUUCAACACCUCAUCGUCAAAAAAAUCUCUCUCCCGCCAUGAAACCACUGUGUUCCCUCACAACACCUUCACAAAUCGUCGCUCCCUUCUAUGCCAUAAUCUCCACAUCCAAAACCUCUCCAUUUCUCCAACUCCGAUCACCUCUUCAAUCCCUAGGGUUUUGUUGCCCCAAAUCACUCCCUAAUUUGCCUUCUUCUUCGAAGCACUCACCAAAAUCUCAACCCUCCUACAAUUUUCCAGGCUCAAUUUUCCCCGCAGAGUCUCAGCUGUCUGAUGCCGACGAAGAUGAAGAUGACGAUGACGACGACGACGACGAAGCAGCAGAAGAGUACGAAGAAAUCUCCGGCGAAGUUUCAGAGGACGGAGCAGAAAAAAGUGAAGAUGAAAUUGGUAGUUCAGUGGAUGAUGAAGCAGAGGUGAGGCCGCGGUUUGUGGAAUCCAAGUGGCAGAGAGUCGAGAAGCUUUGCAACGAAGUCAGAGAGUUCGGCGAUGAAAUCAUCGAUGCCGAUGAACUCGCCUCCAUUUAUGAUUUCCGCAUUGAUAAAUUUCAGCGAUUGGCAAUUCAAGCAUUCUUGAGAGGUUCAUCGGUUGUGGUUUCUGCGCCUACAAGCAGUGGAAAAACUUUGGUUGCAGAAGCUGCAGCUGUUGCAACAGUAGCCAGAGGAAGGAGAAUAUUUUACACGACUCCUCUUAAGGCAUUAUCAAAUCAGAAAUUUCGUGAGUUCCGAGAGACAUUUGGUGAUAGCAAUGUUGGUCUUCUCACUGGAGAUUCUGUAAUAAACAAAGAUGCUCAGGUUCUAGUCAUGACCACAGAGAUUCUACGCAACAUGUUAUACCGGAGUGUUGGAAUAGUUUCUUCUGAAAGUGGACUUUUCCACGUCGAUGCUGUUGUUUUGGAUGAAGUACAUUACCUAAGUGAUAUAUCUCGGGGUACAGUCUGGGAAGAGAUUGUUAUUUAUUGCCCAAAAGAUGUUCAGCUUAUAUGUCUGUCGGCAACAGUUGCAAAUCCAGAUGAGUUGGCUGGUUGGAUUGGUCAGAUUCAUGGUAAAACUGAGCUGGUCACUGCAUCCAAGCGUCCAGUUCCGUUGACUUGGCACUUCUCUACAAAGACAUCUUUGUUGCCUCUUCUUAAUGAGAAAGGAACAGGCAUGAAUAGGAAGCUGUCGCUCAACUAUUUACAACUUCAUUCAUCAGGAGUUAAAUCAUACAAGGACGAGGGAUCCAGAAGAAGGAACUCUAGAAAACGUGAAAGUGACAUGAUCAACAACAAUAUUGCUAAUAUAGCUGGACAAUCUUAUCUAUCAAAGAAUGACAUAAGCAACAUUCGCCGUUCACAGGUUCCUCAAGUUAGAGAUACAUUGCAGCACCUUAAGGCAAGGGAUAUGCUGCCAGCAAUUUGGUUUAUCUUCAACAGGAGGGGAUGUGAUGCAGCUGUUCAGUAUCUUGAAGAUUGCAAGCUUCUAGAUGAGUGUGAAAUGAGUGAGGUUCAACUGGCCUUGAAGAGAUUCCGUGUUCAGUAUCCUGAUGCUGUCAGAGACUUAUCUGUAAAAGGUAUUCUACGAGGGGUUGCUGCUCAUCAUGCUGGCUGUUUACCACUCUGGAAAUCCUUUGUAGAAGAGUUAUUUCAGAGAGGACUUGUUAAGGUUGUUUUUGCUACAGAGACGCUUGCUGCUGGGAUAAACAUGCCUGCUAGGACAGCUGUUAUUUCAUCUCUCAGCAAAAGGAGUGAAAGUGGCCGUAUCCAGCUAAGCCCAAAUGACUUGCUUCAAAUGGCUGGGCGUGCUGGGCGUAGAGGCAUUGAUGAAAGGGGUCAUGCAGUUCUUGUUCAGACAUCCUACGAAGGGGCUGAAGAGUGCUCCAAGCUUCUCUUUGCUGGUCUUGAGCCUCUUGUAUCACAGUUUUCUGCUUCAUAUGGAAUGGUGUUAAAUCUUCUUGCGGGUGCAAAAGUUACUCGUAGAUUGAAUGAAUCAGAUGAAAUGAAAGUUUCCCAAGCAGGGCAAACUUUGGAAGAAGCGAGGAAGUUAGUUGAGCAAAGUUUUGGAAAUUAUGUGGGGAGCAAUGUUAUGAUCGCUGCAAAAGAGGAACUCGCAAAAAUACAAAAGGAGAUUGAGAUGCUGACUUCAGAAGCUAGUGAUGAAGCUAUUGAUAAAAAGAGCCGGAAACUGUUAACAGAUAUGGCGUAUAGGGAGAUUGCUGAUCUGCAGGAAGAACUAAGGACAGAAAAACGUCUGCGGACUGAGUUGCGAAGAAGGAUGGAAUUGGAGAGGGUAUAUGCUUUGAAACCUCUACUCAAAGUGUUGGGAGAUGGGCAUUUACCAUUUAUUUGUCUGCAGUAUAAGAAUACCGAAGAAGUUCAAAAUUUAGUUCCUGCUGUUUAUUUGGGGAAGGUCGAUUCCAUGAAUGGUUCUAAACUUGGAAAUGUGGUUGAUGCCAAUGAUUCUUUUGCACUAGAUAUAGUAGGACCAGAAUUAUAUGUUGAUAAUCCUGGAAUGAAACUUGACGUGAAGCCAUCUUAUCAUGUGGCUCUCGGUUCAGAUAACUCUUGGUAUCUUUUCACAGAGAAGUGGAUUAAAACAGUUUACAGAACAGGCUUCCCAAAUGUUGCCUUGGCUCAUGGUGAUGCUUUGCCCAGAGAAAUCAUGAGUGCGCUACUUGAUAAGGAGGAAAUGCAGUGGCAAAGGCUCGCAGAUUCCGGACUUGGGGGUUUAUGGUGUAUGGAAGGAUCUCUAGAGACAUGGUCUUGGAGUUUAAAUGUGCCUGUUUUGAGUAGUCUUUCGGAAGAUGACGAGGUUUUGCAAUUCUCACGAGAAUACCAUGAAGCAGUAGAAUGUUAUAAGGACCAACGGAAUAAAGUUUCGCGUCUGAAGAAAAAGAUAGCCCGUACAGAAGGCUUUAGGGAAUAUAAGAAGAUCAUAGAUAUGGCUAAGUUUAGUGAGGACAAAAUUCGACGUUUGAAGGCUAGAUCAAAUCGUUUGAUUAGCCGAAUAGAGCAGAUUGAACCAUCCGGUUGGAAAGAGUUUCUGCAGAUCAGCAAUGUCAUACAUGAAACCAGGGCAUUGGAUAUCAAUACGCAAAUGAUAUUUCCUCUUGGAGAAACUGCAGCUGCAAUUCGAGGAGAAAAUGAACUUUGGCUUGCAAUGGUUCUUCGAAAUAAAAUUUUGUUAGAUCUAAAACCUGCACAGCUUGCAGCCGUCUUUGGAAGUUUAGUUUCUGAAGGGAUUAAAGUUCGUCCCUGGAAAAAUAACAGCUACAUAUAUGAACCUUCCACCACUGUAGUAGACGUCAUCAACUUUUUGGAUGAGCAAAGAAACUUCCUUCUACAACUUCAAGAAAAGCAUGAUGUAAAGAUACCUUGCUGUUUGGAUCGCCAAUUUUCUGGUAUGGUUGAAGCGUGGGCUUCUGGUUUAACGUGGAGGGAACUUAUGAUGGAUUGUGCUAUGGAUGAAGGUGAUCUAGCUCGACUCUUUCGACGAACAAUUGAUCUGUUGGCUCAGGUUCCCAAAUUGCCUGAUAUUGACUCAUUGCUGCAAAGCAACGCAAUGACCGCACUCAACAUCAUGGACCGUCCACCGAUUAGUGAACUGGCUGGAUGAAAUAAAUAAAAGAGCCGUCAAAAGAUAUGUUACACUUCAUAUGUUGUGCCCUAUCGAUGAAUAUGUUAUGGUAAACAUGCUGCGACGAGUGAUCGCUGCCUAAUCACUAAAGGACUCUUGGCAUGUACUGCUGCUGCUGCUAAAUUCCUGACAGGCAAUCUUUUGAUUCCUUUAACUCAUGGAAAGGAAACUUGGCAGGUUGAGGGGUGUCACCCAAAGUAUGGUACCUUCAACCCAAGUCUAAUCCAACUUGAUCUUCAACCCAAAUUCCUCCACCAGCUUAACGUGCGGUCAACGUUCAAGUCUAUGAACUCGUUGAACUUGGAUAAGGAAAUUGCAAAUUGGAUCGAGUUCGAGUGGUAGAAACACAAGGAGGAUUCUUCCUGAAAUUACAAAUGUUGCAACCAGCUUCAUGGUAUUGCCAUAGUUGUGGCAGCGCAUUCGGUUAUUUAUGGCAUUGAGGGAAGGUAUCAAGUGCAUCCAAGUGAAUCAGCAUUUGGAGAUAAUUCUUUAUGUGGUCUUGAGGAAGAAUGACUCUCAGGUAUGGGCUUCUACCUGGGAUGUUCAACCAUUUUUUUUCUUUCUUUCUGUUCUCAAAUUCUGGUCGUCUGUAUAGGCAAGGCUAAUAUAGAUCAUUACCUUUCUGGUUGUCAUGAUUGGAAAUUUUUGCUCCCUGGCUCAAUUGGUAAAACUGUUGACAAGUGAGGGAGUUUACAAGUCUGAUUUAUUACAGAUCGUUUAUUGCUGAA